rnacentral:tRNA from 1 species
GGGGAUUUAGCUCAGCGGUAGAGUGCUUACCUAGCAAGCACAAGGUCCUGGGUUCGAUCCCCAGCUCCG